rnacentral:lncRNA from 1 species
AUGUCACUUGAUACUACUACUACUGAUACUCCUACAACUGAUACUACUACAUCUGAUUCUACUACUGAUACUACUGAUACUCCUACAACUGAUACUACUACAUCUGAUUCUACUACUGAUACUACUGAUACUCCUACAACUGAUACUACUACAUCUGAUUCUACUACUGAUACUACUGAUACUCCUACAACUGAUACUACUACAUCUGAUUCUACUACUGAUACUACUGAUACUCCUACAACUGAUACUACUACAUCUGAUUCUACUACUGAUACUACUGAUACUCCUACAACUGAUACUACUACAUCUGAUUCUACUACUGAUACUACUGAUACUCCUACAACUGAUACUACUACAUCUGAUUCUACUACUGAUACUACUGAUACUCCUACAACUGAUACUACUACAUCUGAUUCUACUACUGAUACUACUGAUACUCCUACAACUGAUACUACUACAUCUGAUUCUACUACUGAUACUACUGAUACUCCUACAACUGAUACUACUACAUCUGAUUCUACUACUGAUACUACUGAUACUCCUACAACUGAUACUACUACAUCUGAUUCUACUACUGAUACUACUGAUACUCCUACAACUGAUACUACUACAUCUGAUUCUACUACUGAUACUACUGAUACUCCUACAACUGAUACUACUACAUCUGAUUCUACUACUGUUCCUACUGAUACUCCUACAACUGAUACUACUACAUCUGAUUCUACUACUGAUACUUUCGAUUCUACUACUGAUACUACCGAUACUACUGAUACUACUGAUACUACUACAACUGAUACUACUACUGAUUCUACUGAUUCUACUACUGAUACCAGUGAUACUACUACAACUGAUACUACUACUGAUUCUACUGAUACUAUUGAUUCUACUGAUUCUACUACUGAUACUACUACAACUGAUACUACUACCGAUUCUACUGAUUCUACUACUGAUACUAGUGAUACUACUACAACUAAUACUACUACUGAUACUACUGAUACUACUGAUUCUACUACUAAUACUACUGAUACUACUGAUUCUACUACUAAUAUUACUAAUACUACUGAUUCUACUGAUUCUACUACUAAUACUACUGAUUCUACUGAUUCUACUGAUUCUACUACUAAUACUACUGAUUCUACUGAUUCUACUACUAAUACUACUAAUACUACUGAUUCUACUGAUUCUACUACUAAUACUACUAAUACUACUGAUUCUACUGAUUCUACUACUAAUACUACUGAUUCUACUGAUUCUACUACUAAUACUACUAAUACUACUGAUUCUACUGAUUCUACUACUAAUACUACUGAUUCUACUACUAAUACUACUGAUUCUACUACUGAUACUUACUGUAGAAAUGUCCAGAUGUUUUUCAAAAUAAAAGUCUUCACCCAGUAA